UAAAAAUGGUUAAAAAAUAACAAAAUUUUCAUUGUAAAUGAAACAUCGAAAUGAUUUCAUUUU
rnacentral:tRNA from 1 species